rnacentral:rRNA from 1 species
UUAAGUUAUUAAGGGCGCACGGUGGAUGCCUUGGCACUAGAAGCCGAUGAAGGACGUUACUAACGACGAUAUGCUUUGGGGAGCUGUAAGUAAGCUUUGAUCCAGAGAUUUCCGAAUGGGGAAACCCAGCAUGAGUUAUGUCAUGUUAUCGAUAUGUGAAUACAUAGCAUAUCAGAAGGCACACCCGGAGAACUGAAACAUCUUAGUACCCGGAGGAAGAGAAAGAAAAUUCGAUUCCCUUAGUAGCGGCGAGCGAAACGGGAAGAGCCCAAACCAACAAGCUUGCUUGUUGGGGUUGUAGGACACUCUAUACGGAGUUACAAAGGACGACAUUAGACGAAUCAUCUGGAAAGAUGAAUCAAAGAAGGUAAUAAUCCUGUAGUCGAAAAUGUUGUCUCUCUUGAGUGGAUCCUGAGUACGACGGAGCACGUGAAAUUCCGUUGGAAUCUGGGAGGACCAUCUCCUAAGGCUAAAUACUCUCUAGUGACCGAUAGUGAACCAGUACCGUGAGGGAAAGGUGAAAAGCACCCCGGAAGGGGAGUGAAAUAGAACCUGAAACCGUGUGCUUACAAGUAGUCAGAGCCCGUUAAUGGGUGAUGGCGUGCCUUUUGUAGAAUGAACCGGCGAGUUACGAUUUGAUGCAAGGUUAAGCAGUAAAUGUGGAGCCGUAGCGAAAGCGAGUCUGAAUAGGGCGUUUAGUAUUUGGUCGUAGACCCGAAACCAGGUGAUCUACCCUUGGUCAGGUUGAAGUUCAGGUAACACUGAAUGGAGGACCGAACCGACUUACGUUGAAAAGUGAGCGGAUGAACUGAGGGUAGCGGAGAAAUUCCAAUCGAACCUGGAGAUAGCUGGUUCUCUCCGAAAUAGCUUUAGGGCUAGCCUCAAGUGAUGAUUAUUGGAGGUAGAGCACUGUUUGGACGAGGGGCCCCUCUCGGGUUACCGAAUUCAGACAAACUCCGAAUGCCAAUUAAUUUAACUUGGGAGUCAGAACAUGGGUGAUAAGGUCCGUGUUCGAAAGGGAAACAGCCCAGACCACCAGCUAAGGUCCCAAAAUAUAUGUUAAGUGGAAAAGGAUGUGGCGUUGCCCAGACAACUAGGAUGUUGGCUUAGAAGCAGCCAUCAUUUAAAGAGUGCGUAAUAGCUCACUAGUCGAGUGACACUGCGCCGAAAAUGUACCGGGGCUAAACAUAUUACCGAAGCUGUGGAUUGUCCUUUGGACAAUGGUAGGAGAGCGUUCUAAGGGCGUUGAAGCAUGAUCGUAAGGACAUGUGGAGCGCUUAGAAGUGAGAAUGCCGGUGUGAGUAGCGAAAGACGGGUGAGAAUCCCGUCCACCGAUUGACUAAGGUUUCCAGAGGAAGGCUCGUCCGCUCUGGGUUAGUCGGGUCCUAAGCUGAGGCCGACAGGCGUAGGCGAUGGAUAACAGGUUGAUAUUCCUGUACCACCUAUAAUCGUUUUAAUCGAUGGGGGGACGCAGUAGGAUAGGCGAAGCGUGCGAUUGGAUUGCACGUCUAAGCAGUAAGGCUGAGUAUUAGGGAAAUCCGGUACUCAUUAAGGCUGAGCUGUGAUGGGGAGAAGACAUUGUGUCUUCGAGUUGUUGAUUUCACACUGCCGAGAAAAGCCUCUAGAUAGAAAAUAGGUGCCCGUACCGCAAACCGACACAGGUAGUCAAGAUGAGAAUUCUAAGGUGAGCGAGCGAACUCUCGUUAAGGAACUCGGCAAAAUGACCCCGUAACUUCGGGAGAAGGGGUGCUCUUUAGGGUUAACGCCCAGAAGAGCCGCAGUGAAUAGGCCCAAGCGACUGUUUAUCAAAAACACAGGUCUCUGCUAAACCGUAAGGUGAUGUAUAGGGGCUGACGCCUGCCCGGUGCUGGAAGGUUAAGAGGAGUGGUUAGCUUCUGCGAAGCUACGAAUCGAAGCCCCAGUAAACGGCGGCCGUAACUAUAACGGUCCUAAGGUAGCGAAAUUCCUUGUCGGGUAAGUUCCGACCCGCACGAAAGGCGUAACGAUUUGGGCACUGUCUCAACGAGAGACUCGGUGAAAUCAUAGUACCUGUGAAGAUGCAGGUUACCCGCGACAGGACGGAAAGACCCCGUGGAGCUUUACUGUAGCCUGAUAUUGAAAUUCGGCACAGCUUGUACAGGAUAGGUAGGAGCCUUUGAAACGUGAGCGCUAGCUUACGUGGAGGCGCUGGUG